rnacentral:rRNA from 1 species
AUGAACGUGCUCCGACUGGAGUCUCGUAUCGCCAGCGCCAUAAGCUACCUCGCGCGCCUGAAGGAGGUAGUCUCCCAAAUCGACUCAUCGCUUUGGCCGGGGGCAACGCUUCACAACGACUUGGAAUCCUUGAUGACUCGACUGAACGAGAUCCCUGACCGAGUGCAAGAAUGGAAGAAAUCCUCCACCCGGUGUGGUGCUGAUGUGGCGUUGUCCUUGGUGCGAGUCCAUUGCAAGGAAGCUCGUGAAGACAAGCUGGCUGUGAUCAAAGUUGCUAACACCAAAAAGCAUGACUUCCAGUCCUUCAUGGAGACUUUCAUUGCUGCCGCCACUUGGAUCGCUGAUGGGAUCGACCUGGACUCAUUUGUGGCGCCUGCCAGCCCUCCUCCGGCUGAGUGA